AAGCUCAUCGCCUCCCAUCCGAUCGGCAGUCGACGCCGAGAUAAGCGGGGACGACGAGAUGGCCAGGCACCCGGCUG
rnacentral:pre_miRNA from 1 species